ACUACGGGUGGCAGCAGUGGGGAAUAUUGGGCAAUGGGCGCAAGCCUGACCCAGCAACGCCGCGUGAAGGAAGAAGGCUUUCGGGUUGUAAACUUCUUUUCUCAGGGACGAAGCAAGUGACGGUACCUGAGGAAUAAGCCACGGCUAACUACGUGCCAGCAGCCGCGGUAAUACGUAGGUGGCAAGCGUUAUCCGGAUUUACUGGGGGUAAAGGGCGUGAAGGCGGGAAAGCAAGUCAGAUGUGAGAACCAUGGGCGCAACCUGUGGCCUGCAUUUGAAACUGUUUUUCUUGAGUACUGGAGAGGCAGACGGAAUUCCUAGUGUAGCGGUGAAAUGCGUAGAUAUUAGGAGGAACACCAGUGGCGAAGGCGGUCUGCUGGACAGCAACUGACGCUGAGGCGCGAAAGCGUGGGGAGCAAACAGGAUUAGAUACCCUGGUAGUC
rnacentral:rRNA from 1 species